GUCUUUGUGGAGUAAUGAAACUCACUCCCGAGCAGUGGAUCCUUCCAAACGUAUGGCAUAAUUCCGGGAGAGUCGGUGGUUCGAACCCACUCAAAGACA